UAUUAUGCAACCGUUCCACCUCGCAGUAGUGACUACUUCCAUUCAGGUUGAAACAAUGAGAGACUGGACCAUCAAUCGGUCGUGCUCCAAAUCCCCAAGCAGGAAAGCGUUUAUCUGAGUCAUAGAACUGCAACACCUCCCCAACUUCUAUGAUUGCCUGAAAUAGUCAAUAGAGUAGAUUCCCAAUCAAAUAGGAAACUAAAAA
rnacentral:misc_RNA from 1 species